rnacentral:rRNA from 1 species
GAGUCAACGUAGCAAUACGUGGCAUACGGCUCAGUAACACGUAGUCAACAUGCCCAGGGGACGUGGAUAACCUCGGGAAACUGAGGAUAAACCGCGAUAGGCCAAGAUUUCUGGAAUGAAUCAUGGUUUAAAUCUAUAUGGCCCCUGGAUUGGACUGCGGCCGAUCAGGCUGUUGGUGAGGUAAUGGCCCACCAAACCUGUAACCGGUACGGGCUCUGAGAGGAGGAGCCCGGAGAUGGGCACUUAGACAAGGGCCCAGGCCCUAUGGGGCGCAGCAGGCGCGAAACCUCUGCAAUAAGCGAAAGCUUGACAGGGUUAUUCUGAGUGACUUUCGCUAAGAAAGUCUUUUGACACCUCUAAAAAUGGUGUAGAAUAAGGGGUGGGCAAGUCUGGUGUCAGCCGCCGCGGUAAUACCAGCACCCCGAGUGGUCGGGACGAUUAUUGGGCCUAAAGCAUCCGUAGCCGGUUUUACAAGUCCUCCGUUAAAUCCAGCUGCUUAACAGAUGGGCUGCGGAGGAUACUAUAGAGCUAGGAGGCGGGAGAGGCAAGCGGUACUCGAUGGGUAGGGGUAAAAUCCGUUGAUCCAUUGAAGACCACCAGUGGCGAAGGCGGCUUGCCAGAACGCGCUCGACGGUGAGGGAUGAAAGCUGGGGGAGCAAACCGGAUUAGAUACCCGGGUAGUCCCAGCUGUAAACGAUGCAGACUCGGUGAUGAGUUGGCUUAUUGCUAACUCAGUGCCGCAGGGAAGCCGUUAAGUUUGCCGCCUGGGGAGUACGGUCGCAAGACUGAA